UACGUAGGGUGCAAGCGUUAAUCGGAAUUACUGGGCGUAAAGCGUGCGCAGGCGGUUUUAUAAGACAGAUGUGAAAACCCCGGGCUCAACCUGGGGACUGCAUUUGUGACUGUAGAGCUGGAGUAUGGCAGAGGGGGAUGGAAUUCCGCGUGUAGCAGUGAAAUGCGUAGAUAUGCGGAGGAACACCGAUGGCGAAGGCAAUCCCCUGGGCCUGUACUGACGCUCAUGCACGAAAGCGUGGGGAGCAAGCAGG
rnacentral:rRNA from 1 species